UGCACGGUUGGCUGUCCGGAACAUCCGGAACAAUUGGAACUGCAACCGAGUAAGACAGAACAGGAUCGGAACACUGUUCUGGACAUGUGCAGCCUGUCCCGCCAGAAGAGGUGGUGUGAGUGGAACAAUGACGUAAGCAAGAUGGCGACAGCAUGAGUUCAACUCAAGAUUCCCUUAUAGCCAAGUGGACUUGCUUUAUGUGUAAACAACACCCGACAAUCUACUCCUUAGAAGCAUUUGAGGAACAGGAAGAAAGUAAAAAAUAUAUUCCGUUGUUUGUUGACGGAAAUUAUAGGAUAUUCCUUCGGUGCACCCUAUGUAAUAAAACAUUCCAUGCACACUGUGCCAUCUACGACACACUAGAAUUGCUGCACAGAGAAACAGCUGAUUUAGAAAUGUUAUGCAAUCCCUGUGCAAAUGGAUAUGGCCAGCAAUAAAAGUGUUAAGCUUCAAAUCAAUACACCAAGUGGCAGUAUUUCAGCAUACAUGGAGCCAGAGAUGGCCGAAUACUACAGAUCUAACAGUGAAGCCCUUGGAUCCCUUGUUAAGGAGCAUCUUCAGAUGUCUACUACAUUUGAUGGUGCAGCCAAUUCUAU